AACCUCCCACCCGUGUUUACUGUACCUUAGUUGCUUCGGCGGGCCCGCCAUUCAUGGCCGCCGGGGGCUCUCAGCCCCGGGCCCGCGCCCGCCGGAGACACCACGAACUCUGUCUGAUCUAGUGAAGUCUGAGUUGAUUGUAUCGCAAUCAGUUAAAACUUUCAACAAUGGAUCUCUUGGUUCCGGCAUCGAUGAAGAACGCAGCGAAAUGCGAUAACUAGUGUGAAUUGCAGAAUUCCGUGAAUCAUCGAGUCUUUGAACGCACAUUGCGCCCCCUGGUAUUCCGGGGGGCAUGCCUGUCCGAGCGUCAUUGCUGCCCAUCAAGCACGGCUUGUGUGUUGGGUCGUCGUCCCCUCUCCGGGGGGGACGGGCCCCAAAGGCAGCGGCGGCACCGCGUCCGAUCCUCGAGCGUAUGGGGCUUUGUCACCCGCUCUGUAGGCCCGGCCGGCGCUUGCCGAACGCAAAUCAAUCUUUUCCAGGUUGACCUCGGAUCAGGUAGGGAUACCCGCUGAACUUAAGCAUAUC
rnacentral:rRNA from 1 species